GACUUUUUUUGUUAUGACAUAUUAAUUCAAAUGGUUUAGGCCUAGUUAUUGCGACAUAUGGGGCCCGCUAUAAAGGUUUCAUAAUUAAUAUAGCUUAAAGAAAAUCCAGAUCUAAUUACUAUUCGACUAGCAAUUUUAUCCUACAAUUUAAUUCUUAUUUGAAUCUAAUUAUAAACAUUGUGAAUAACAAGUAAACACAUUCCAAAAUAUAAGCUUAUUAUUCAACAGUUUUGUGAAACGAAUGAUGAGGAACUUGCUGAACUCUUGUUGUAAACUAAAGUUCGCUGGAUUUCGAAAGGGAGUUGUAUUGCUCGUUUUGUUAACUUCUUUACUAAGCCUACAAUUAUGGGAUUUUCUGUUUUUAACUUUUUUUUGAGAAAUAGAAAGAUUUAUCGAUUGGUGAUGACUUAGGCUAAACAAGUGCCUUACAUGGUAGGCAUCUAAUGCAAGUGAAUGAAACCAACAUUCGACUGCAAGGAAAAAAAAGACUUUUAUUAAUUCAUUCAUUCUCUCUUUUAUAGAGAUAUUAAAUCUAUUUUAAAGGGUUUUACAAUCUCACAUUACUUGUUUGUUGACAAUGAACUUCUGCCUAAAGAUAUCGAUGUCUAUGUAAUUCACCUAACACUGCUCGAUGAAGAAAUCGUGAUGUUAAUACAUUUAAAAAAAAAUAUAAAUGACAAUUUUAAACAUCUGCUACUGAUGUUCACGUUGAAUGGCAGGACGACAAAUUAAAUUUACAAAAUGAAAUCUUCAUUAAAAAAAUAUUAACAUAGGUGGCACAACCUAUAUAUAUAUUAAUAUACUAUAUAUAUAAUGGUAUUGAACAAUAAAAUUUGCUCUUGUUACUGGGAUGUGUGACUGACAGACAGACAUAAACCGCUUGGGACACGAGCUCAACACCGGACUCUAGUUGAGUAGGGUUUGCUGAGGGCUCAAGCAAAGAAACUGUAUCCGCAAUAGCCCCACCCACCACUGAUCCACAAAAAUGAUUAAACCAUACCGUGAUAAGCAUGCGAUAUAGGUAUGAAAGAUGCGAUGUACAAAAUAAUGUAUUUAAACUUUAAACAAAAAUGAUCAUCAAUAUAAGACAGGAAAGAAACACUUAUUGUAGACGCUUUGACUAACAUGAGAUCAUUAGUGUGUAGGUCAAAGUAUUUCUCCAUUACUUCCAUUCUUGUAGUUAACUACUACUGUUAACAUACGCAUAUAGUAUUGAUCUGGAUCAGUAGUGAGAUGUGUUAUAACCGAAUCACUUUCCCAUUAUAUUUUAUUUGUUUUUUGAUCCUUUUCGUAUCUUGUCUAGAACUUCAUUGUGGUAUAUAUCAAACACACAGGGAUGGAAUGAUUUCAAUGAACUGGAGAAAGUAUAAUGAUCCUAAUAUUUUUUUGUCACUUUCAAAAGAAAUAGGUCUUAAGGAAAUCGUAGUUUUGCAAUUUGACAGCAAAAACGCAUUUGAGAAUUUAAGUAAAAUUAUAAUUGUAAAAAGCGUUAGUUUAAGUUUUGUAGAUGAUAUUGUAUCAGCGCAAAUUAUAAUAAAGAAUGUGUCAAAAUUUCAUGAAGGAAAAUGGACAUUUAAAAAGAUAUCCCAGCCUAAAAUGGAAUUAGAUACAAACGAAACAAAUGAAUCGAGCUGUUUCGUUAAAACUUUUGAUAUUUCCAACCAAUUGAUCAAAAUCUGAAUAAGUCGUUUAUAAUAUUACCAUCUUGUCAUUAACCUGUUUCGCCAGUUUUUAAUGUUUGUUUUUGAAACUCCUUUUUGCAUAUUUGAGUUGGAUUGUACAUUAUUUAGUGUUAAACAACACGAUAAAACACUGUUGUACAUAAUCCACAAUUUUUGUUGAUAGAAAUAUUUAUAUUGGAUAAUUUUAAUAUUUUUAUUGGAUAAUUUAGUAUUUUUAUUUUUAGUGGAUACUUUUAUAUUUAUAAUUCAGGAAAAAACUAAAUUUUGUUGUUGUCUAAGGAAUCAAAGCUAUGAAAACUUGAAGCUCGUACAUCUCUUUCACGUUCAGUGCAACAAAGACAAGUGAAACAAAGAUCUGGCCAUUAUGGGUAACAAGUAAAGCAUUAAAAAUGAUUUUUAAAAAAAGCCUCCUUUGUAGAAAGAUUUUUUUCUCUACAUAACUAAUGUAGUAUUUAAUGCUCGAGUUCGUAGGGUUACAAUUAAUUUUAAUAUUAAGAGUUUAAUUUUAAUUUCCCACUGUGGCCUCAAACAAUUCAACAAUGUUUGUGUCUUUGAAUUAGUUUGUGGUGGACAUAGUGUGAGAUGUUUCCUAAAGUUGAAUGGUCAAACAUUAGAAGAAGUGGACUCAUUUAAAUACCUAGGGUCAAACAUUAGAAGAAAUGGACUCAUUUAAAUACCUAGGGUCAAACAUUACAGAGAAAUGUUAGAUUUCAGAUUUCUGAAAAAGAAGACAAUUGAGUUCCUGUUACAAGUCAACACUCUGGCUGGCAAAAAAAAUCAAUACUGUGAAGAGACCAAAGCUGAGCUGUAAGACAUGACUACCUGUUAAAAGUUUUCCUUUAAGGAACAGGUUGAUUUCAUACAUACUUUUUCACAGCCAGACAUUUAUUUUGGUUUUUGUUUUGAACAUCAGUUAGUUGCUAAAACCAUCAUUAGAUAGUAUUCGACCCCCUUAUUUCUGCAAUAAAGUAAAACAUAGUAAGUCGACAUGUUUAAAUAUUAUCAUUUUUAGAUAAUAUGACAAUCAAUGGUUUUUCUUUAAGGGCAAAUAAUAGAUUUUGACAUAAAAAUCUCCAAUUUAAGUACAAUAAUUGAGUCAAGUUGUGUGUGCAGAGCCACCAAGAAAACUGUCG